AGCACCACAUGUGGGACCUUUCUAGGGUUGCAAAACUCCGGUAACUUUCCUAAAAUUCCCAGGUUUUCCAGAAAUCCUGAUUGGAUGAUUCCGGGAUUCCUGCUUAUUGCCUCCUGAUUCCGGAAAUCUUCCCAACUGGGAUUGGAGGGCCAGACGCACACGCUUGUGUGUGGAUUCUUUUGACACGUGUGUGUGUGUGUGUGUGUUUGUGUGUCUGUGUAUGUGCACACAAUAUAAUGUGCUGCACAUGUGACCUUUUGCACUGUAUUUGUCAAAAAUAAAAAGGUGCAUUACUCCCAUUUGUUAUGAGUAGAGUCUUAUGCUCUGUGUCUUUUUCUCUUCUGUUAGUAGGAGAUUUGUAAAAGACAGGAUUUGGUAAAUGGGGGAAGUGGUGAAACAGCGGGAUGUGUCUGUCCUGGGAGAAGAAGAAAAGGAUGAAAGUAGCCAGGGGAUCGAAUAGAAGGAGAAGAGUCCCGAAAGUUACAGAGGGGAGGUAUAAGAGAAGUGUGUGUGUCCUUUCACCUGGCCAUUCCAAUGAACCUGGACCAAAUCAGAUACACACCUGUCACUCCCCCAACAGAAGAAAACACAGAUGUUCAUGGUGGGAUCUGAGAGCAAUGUGAACAACUACAGGUGCAACUCGUACAGAUGGACGUAACGUAUGAAAUGUGCUGAGUAUAUCCAUGUAUUUAUAUCCUAAUUUGUACACGUGGAAUUGCUGUAUUCAUUUGAUCCUUAUAGAACGUCUCUUCAUAAAAUCUCAAAUGCUAAAAGAUCCUGUUAAAAUACAUGCUUGGUGUGUUUAUUUGGCUCUUUGCUGUCUUUCAUUUAUAGAUGAAUUCUGAAGGCGCUUUAUAACAUAACACUAUAGUUGGCCACGUUAAAUGACAUCCUAUUCAUACGCCUGGUCAUCUACACAGGAUGAAAAGAAUAGGUUACGUCUUAAUGAACUACCAAUUUUGGAGUAAUAGCCUAUCAUGUUAAGAGAUAUGCAUGUAAAAAGAUAUGUUUGGUGAUAUGUCAAAUAGGCUACGAAAGGGAUUUGGCUAUAAACUGCUGAAAAGCCAGUUCACCCAAUCCCAUCGGCUCCACAAGUCACGUAUACCUUCAAGUAUAUUCACUUCUGUCAAAGAAUGCAAAUGACGGCAUGACGAUUUCUACAAGUCAAUUGAUUUUCCCGACAAGCACAUUUUGAUGAGUACACUACACCUGUCAGUUAUACUCAGGCAGUUCUGGUUGGCCCAUACUUUGUUUAGUUACAUGUCGGUGUAAGCAUACAGCUAGUAUGGCGAUAGUGGGGGGAGGGGGGGUCUUGAAGACAAAAGCAGCCUAGGCUACACUGUUAUGAGACUUUCUGUCUGGAUUACAAGCUAAUGCAUUUAACAUGAAAAUGCCCAACUCUCCCGAGUCGUGACAUCCCGUCAAGGGAGACGCAUAUUCUCUCAACAAUCCUGUUCGAGUUGUGUGGUUCACAAAUGUACAGUGCGAUGGAAAUAAAGUGUUAAGACCUCCACUGACUGUCUCUGUGUUUAUGUAAGGUGAAACACUUUUUUCCCCCGUUAAUCACACAUCCUCCCAUCUCUUCCGUGUUUGGGAAAUGUACUAUGGCAAAGAAUUUCUAUUAUAUUGACAAGAUAAUCGAGUGACCGCUCUAACGAUGGAGAUACAUGUCCUGAAAGAUGGAAGGCAAGCUGGAGGCGAGAUCAUGUGG
rnacentral:lncRNA from 8 species